GUAACACGUGAGCAACCUGCCCUCCACUUCGGGAUAAGCCUUGGAAACGGGGUCUAAUACCGGAUAUGAGCUCGCAUCGCAUGGUGUGGGUUGGAAAGUUUUUCGGUGGGGGAUGGGCUCGCGGCCUAUCAGCUUGUUGGUGGGGUGAUGGCCUACCAAGGCGUCGACGGGUAGCCGGCCUGAGAGGGCGACCGGCCACACUGGGACUGAGACACGGCCCAGACUCCUACGGGAGGCAGCAGUGGGGAAUAUUGCACAAUGGGCGCAAGCCUGAUGCAGCGACGCCGCGUGAGGGAUGACGGCCUUCGGGUUGUAAACCUCUUUCAGCAGGGAAGAAGCGCAAGUGACGGUACCUGCAGAAGAAGCGCCGGCUAACUACGUGCCAGCAGCCGCGGUAAUACGUAGGGCGCAAGCGUUGUCCGGAAUUAUUGGGCGUAAAGAGCUCGUAGGCGGUCUGUCGCGUCUGGUGUGAAAUCCCGAGGCUCAACCUCGGGCUUGCAUCGGGUACGGGCAGACUAGAGUGCGGUAGGGGAGACUGGAAUUCCUGGUGUAGCGGUGGAAUGCGCAGAUAUCAGGAGGAACACCGAUGGCGAAGGCAGGUCUCUGGGCCGCAACUGACGCUGAGGAGCGAAAGCAUGGGGAGCGAACAGGAUUAGAUACCCUGGUAGUCCAUGCCGUAAACGUUGGGCACUAGGUGUGGGGCUCAUUCCACGAGUUCCGUGCCGCAGCUAACGCAUUAAGUGCCCCGCCUGGGGAGUACGGCCGCAAGGCUAAAACUCAAAGGAAUUGACGGGGGCCCGCACAAGCGGCGGAGCAUGCGGAUUAAUUCGAUGCAACGCGAAGAACCUUACCAAGGCUUGACAUGUACGAGAAAGCCCCCGAGACGGGGUUCUCUUUGGACACUCGUACACAGGUGGUGCAUGGUUGUCGUCAGCUCGUGUCGUGAGAUGUUGGGUUAAGUCCCGCAACGAGCGCAACCCUCGUCCUAUGUUGCCAGCGGGUUAUGCCGGGGACUCAUGGGAGACUGCCGGGGUCAACUCGGAGGAAGGUGGGGAUGACGUCAAAUCAUCAUGCCCCUUAUGUCUUGGGCUUCACGCAUGCUACAAUGGCCGGUACAGAGGGCUGCGAUACCGUAAGGUGGAGCGAAUCCCAAAAAGCCGGUCUCAGUUCGGAUUGGGGUCUGCAACUCGACCCCAUGAAGUCGGAGUCGCUAGUAAUCGCAGAUCAGCAACGCUGCGGUGAAUACGUUCCCG
rnacentral:rRNA from 1 species